rnacentral:ncRNA from 1 species
CUCUUAUCCCGAGUUGGUGGAGGGGGGACAGACCCUAAGAAACCCGGCAACCGACACUAUUAUUAUUUCCAUGAAAUUAUCGCAACUAUCCGGUUUAUUUCGUUGGAAAAUAAAAAAUGGUGACAAGGUGCUUAACCUGUUGCAAGACAAGCUUUUGUCUUGAGCGAUAAGAG